UUAAUUAUAUCUGUCUAGAAACCUCUUUAAUAUAGUGAUAUCCAGAUAUUCACCAACUUUUAUUUCUUUGGAAACCUGGGCUCAAUCAUUUUAUAAAUUCAUUUUUCCUCUAAUGAUUGUCAAGGAAAUCUGGACCUGUUGAACCUGGGCCUACAUCCUAUGGGAGCAAUAGUAAAUCUUAUAUCAAGAAUGUCCCUGAAGGAAAUGGUACAGAAUGUGAAAAUUUCUGGCAAUCCAGGAACGAUGCAAAAUGUCAUCCUGAGAAACAGGAAUAUCACCCCUUUCUGGACCAUGAUAUUUCUGAGAGUGAAAGGAAAUGUGUGAUUUCAACCCUUCCUGUAAGAACUAUCAAAGUAAAGAGCUUGCAUGGUACUCCUCCUUCCUCAACUGAC